ACAUAAUAAUUAUAAAGUCAGAAAUUUCUGCGACGAUGCGAAUUCAAUUUGUCUCGACGGUUGAAUCGGGGCGUAUAUACUACGUAGAUUCUUUUUCGCUAACUGAUAUACGUAUGAACAAUUAUUACAGCGGCUGUAAGGCCUGAGGUUUGGCGACCACAAGGAUUCUGCUAAGUGGCCGGGGAAACCUAGAAGACAGAAGUCCAAAACUAAAAGCCAAGUAUACCGGUGUAUUUGUAUACAUGUACAUAUAGGUAUACGACGAAAUCUGAAAGUCCCACAAUAAUUCCGGCUCUAUUGUUGCGGAUGUAUUUAAGUGCAGCGCGGAUCGACCACGGCCUGCACUAUGCCGAGAAUGGUGUAUCCGGAAUCAUUGAUAUGACGUAGGGAACGUUCUAUGGAAUAAGAAGAAAAAAGGAAGAAGAAGAAGAGGAGGAGGAGGAGGAGGAGGAAGAAGAAGACGCGGAGGGGACCUGACGAGACAGUGCGUGCUUACACGGGUGCUACAGGGCAGACAGUUGCGCCCCGAGGUUACGAAUUCGUCGCGCUCUCGAACAGUUCCACGUUCUCCCAGAGCUCUCGUCCCGAUUUCAUGGUCACUAGCCGUACGCGUAGAUACUCACUUCUCAAAUCGGGAAACUACCUAGCCGAAGGUUCUCCGUGCUGCUGCUGCGACGGUUGUUGUUGCCCACCGGAGAAAAUUCUGAGUCCUCCAGGAGUCGAGGAAUUCUGCAAGGUACCUAAAGAAGUCGUGUUUCCCGUAUGACCUC